rnacentral:tRNA from 1 species
UAGCUCAGUUGGUAGAGCAUGAGACUCUUAAUCUCUGGGUUGUGGGUUUGAGCCCUGU